GGAUGUGAGGGUGAUCUGGCUGCGACAUCUGUCACCCCAUUGAUUGCCAGGGUUGAUUCGGCUGAUGUGGCUGGCUAGGCGGGUGUCCCCUUCCUCCCUCACCGUUCCAUGUGCAUCCCUCCAGAAGCUGCACACUCGGUGGAAGAGGACAACCAUCCCCAAUAGAGGAGGAUCGUUCUUUGGUCAAGGGUAUACGAGUAGCUGUGCUCCCCUGCUAGAACCUCCAAACAAGCUCUCAAGAAUUAUUUAGCUCUUUAUUUUUAUUAAAAGAAUAAAUGAAAUAUGGCUACAGACCCUUUGGAAAGUUAAAAAUAAAAAAGUGAUGGCACAACAUGUUGAGGCACAUGGAAUGCUUUCAAAU
rnacentral:snRNA from 1 species